rnacentral:rRNA from 1 species
AUUGAACGCUGGCGGCAGGCCUAACACAUGCAAGUCGAGCGGUAACACAGGGAGCUUGCUCCCGGGUGACGAGCGGCGGACGGGUGAGUAAUGUCUGGGAAACUGCCUGAUGGAGGGGGAUAACUACUGGAAACGGUAGCUAAUACCGCAUAACGUCGCAAGACCAAAGAGGGGGACCUUCGGGCCUCUUGCCAUCAGAUGUGCCCAGAUGGGAUUAGCUAGUAGGUGGGGUAAUGGCUCACUCAGGCGACGAUCCCUAGCUGGUCUGAGAGGGUGACCAGCCACACUGGAACUGAGACACGGUCCAGACUCCUACGAGAGGCAGCAGUGGGGAAUAUUGCACAAUGGGCGCAAGCCUGAUGCAGCCAUGCCGCGUGUAUGAAGAAGGCCUUCGGGUUGUAAAGUACUUUCAGCGGGGAGGAAGGCGAUAAGGUUAAUAACCUUGUCGAUUGACGUUACCCGCAGAAGAAGCACCGGCUAACUCCGUGCCAGCCGCCGCGGUAACAC